UCUCCGUUGGUGAACCAGCGGAGGGAUCAUUGCUGGAAGCGUCUCACGGCGCACCCAGAUACCCUUUGUGAACCUAUACCACACUGUUGCCUCGGCGCAGGCUGGGAGCUUCUGUAAACUCCCCCCCGCGGACUCACCUCCGCGCGGAGCAGGCCCGCCGGCGGCCCCAACCAAACUCUUUGUUUUUUACCAUGUCUCUUCUGAGUUACAAACACAAAUGAAUCAAAACUUUCAACAACGGAUCUCUUGGUUCUGGCAUCGAUGAAGAACGCAGC
rnacentral:misc_RNA from 1 species